GAGCAACAAGAACAUCCAUGAACAGGCUCUGACACAUUUGCACUACUUCAGUUUGAGAGGCGUCAGUACAGAGCUUUCUACAAUGGUCUGUACGAUGUGAAUGCAAACUCUGAUGAAGACCAUGAGAUGAACUUGAAAUCUCCAGAAAAAGUAUGCAGGACCAGAGACCCAGCAGUCCUCAGGGGGGACGCUGCGCCUGACAUGGAUGCUCCCGUUCCCUUCCUCGCCCUGCAGCUGUGCACAUAAGCCCCUUGAUCAUAAGCAGAUAUGGCCUGGGGACUACUGAACACGGACCAUUCUGGGAAAAAUAUCGAUGGGUGGUGGCAGGAAACUUUAAAUGGAGUGGAGGAGGAGUGAAGUGUGAGGCAUGUGUGGCUCUUCCAUGGACUGGAUGGCCGACUCCACCAGCGUUACUGCGGCCUCCAGGUCGUCACCGUGCCGACGCAUGAGA